rnacentral:SRP_RNA from 1 species
GCCAGGCAUGAUAGCAUGCGUCUAUAGUCCCAGCUAUUCAGGAGGCUGAAGUGGGAGGAGCGCUUGAGUCUAGGAGCUCUGGGCUGUAGUGCACGAUGCCAGUUGAGUGUCUGCACUAAGUUCAGCAUCAGUGGGGUGACCUCCCAGAAGCAGGAGACCACCAGGUUGCCUAAAGAGGGGUGAACUGGCCCAGACUGGAAACAGAGCAGUGCAAAACUCCCGCACUGAUCAGUAUUGGCAUCACACCUGUAAAGAGCGACUGACUGCCCAGCAGCCUGGGCAACAUACUGAAACCUGCCUCUU